UGGGGAAUCUUGCGCAAUGGGCGAAAGCCUGACGCAGCGACGCCGCGUGAGGGAUGAAGGCCUUCGGGUUGUAAACCUCUUUCGGCAGGGAAGAAGCCGCAAGGUGACGGUACCUGCAGAAGAAGCCCCGGCCAACUACGUGCCAGCAGCCGCGGUAAGACGUAGGGGGCGAGCGUUGUCCGGAUUUAUUGGGCGUAAAGCGCGCGUAGGCGGCCUGUUAAGUCGGGUGUGAAAACCCGGGGCUCAACCCCGGGCCUGCAUUCGAUACUGACAGGCUAGAGGCAGGCAGGGGAGAUCGGAAUUCCUGGUGUAGCGGUGAAAUGCGCAGAUAUCAGGAGGAACACCGGUGGCGAAGGCGGAUCUCUGGGCCUGUCCUGACGCUCAGGCGCGAAAGCUAGGGGAGCAAACAG
rnacentral:rRNA from 1 species